CCUACCUUUCAGCGGGGGAUAACCAUUGGAAACGAUGACUAAUACCGCAUAGGACUUUGAGUCACCUGACUUAAAGAGGAAAGACGGCUUCGGCUGUCACUGAAAGAUGGCUCCGCGGUGCAUUAGCUAGAUGGUAAGGUAACGGCUUACCAUGGCCAUGAUGCAUAGCCGACCUGAGAGGGUGAUCGGCCACAUUGGGACUGAGACACGGCCCAAACUCCUACGGGAGGCAGCAGUAGGGAAUCUUCCGCAAUGGACGCAAGUCUGACGGAGCAACGCCGCGUGUGUGAAGAAGGUCUUCGGAUCGUAAAGCACUGUUGUUAGAGAAGAACACCCGGUAGAGUAACUGUUACCGGCAUGACGGUAUCUAACCAGAAAGCCACGGCUAACUACGUGCCAGCAGCCGCGGUAAUACGUAGGUGGCAAGCGUUGUCCGGAUUUAUUGGGCGUAAAGAGUGAGCAGGCGGCAGUUUAAGUCUGAAGUCAAAUGCAGUGGCUCAACCACUGUCCGCUUUGGAAACUGAACAGCUAGAGUACGAGAGAGGUAUGUGGAAUUCCAUGUGUAGCGGUGAAAUGCGUAGAUAUAUGGAGGAACACCAGAGGCGAAGGCGGCAUACUG
rnacentral:rRNA from 1 species